rnacentral:rRNA from 1 species
UACGGGGGGGGGCAAGCGUUGUUCGGAAUUACUGGGCGUAAAGGGCGCGUAGGCGGUUUGCUAAGUUGGAUGUGAAAACUCUGGGCUUAACCCAGAGCCUGCAUCCAAAACUGGCAAACUUGAGUACUGGAGGGGAAAGCGGAAUUCCUGGUGUAGCGGUGAAAUGCGUAGAUAUCAGGAGGAACACCGGUGGCGAAGGCGGCACUCUGGGCCGGUACUGACGCUGAGGAGCGAAAGUGUGGGGAGCGAACAGG